CUGAAUUUCUCUGAGGGUUUGGAGCGGGGGGGGGCCUGUUUGUGUUACCACGAGCUACAGGAGUAAGAGUGGACGCUAAACUAGACCGUGCCCCCGGGGAGCAGCCUCCAGGGCGCAGCUCUGCCCUGAGGACGGAGCCUGUUCAGGGUUUACCUGAGUCAGCCUAGCUCGGCCUCCGGCUCCCACACUCGGGAAGCGGCGCAGGGCGGGAAGGGCUGGGCUGGAGGCGGGGGCAGCGGGUCCAGCCUGUGUUCAGCAGAGGGCGCCCCGCGUUCCGCUGGAGCGGAGCCGGGAGGAGCCUCCUGCGCCGCUCGGCUCGGCGCGGCCGGUUCCCAGCUGGUGCUGCCACGUCCGCUGGGCUGAGCCGGGACUCGGGCGCGGCGCGGCGCGGCUGCCGGAGCCCCACGUGCGCGGGGAGCCGGGCGGGACGGGGGAGCUGCUGGUGCCGGGCUCUGGGAAGUUGGAGGCGGCAGAGCCAGGACCCCUGGCGGCAAAGACAACUCCAAAGUGUGGCGCAGGCAGCCAUCUGAAGUAGCAAGGACUGUUACACCACUUUUCAAAGACCUUCCCUGGCCUAUCUCAGCAACUCAACUUUUGUUUUGUUUUUUGUUUUGGCGGGGGGACAACAAAAGAGCCUAAGAGAAGAAUGAGGCAGCUGAAAGGAAAACCCAAAAAGGAGACCUCCAGAGAUAAAAAGGAGAGAAAGCAAGCAAUGCAAGAGGCUCGACAACAAAUCACCACUGUUGUGCUUCCCACAAUGGCUGUUGUUGUGCUUUUAAUUGUUGUGUUUGUUUAUGUGGCAACUCGCCCAAAUACAACUGAAUGAUGCAGCUUUUUUAAUUCUCUAACUUCGUGUAUUAAUACUCAUAUUUUAUGAAGAGCCAAAAAAAAACCCCAAACCUUUCUUUCAAGAUCCCACUUUUUAAUAGUAUUUUACAAAGGAACCUACUGUCAUCUUCAGUCUUCUACUUAAUUAGAGUGCUAUGAUUUCUGUUUUGGAAUGUAACAUAAAACGGAUUAGUGAGCGUGCCAAUACGUUUUAUGGUCUAGUUGAUGUGCCUUUCAGACUUUUUAAAUGGUGUUUUUUUCUUAAAGCUCUUUAAAGUUCUAUAUUGUGAAAGGAAACUCUGUUGUGUUAUACAUUUGUAUAAAUCAGCUUUCAGAUUUUAUCACUGUAAUCUGUAAUGUUGCUCCCAUGAGUUUUUGUAUGUCUGUUUCACAACUUCCAAAGAAGUACAUUUCUUCUUUGUGCUUAAUGUAAUUUGAAAUGCUCUGAUUUAAAAUAUAUAUAUAUUUUUUUUGAAUAAAGAAGAUAUUAAUCUUA